rnacentral:lncRNA from 1 species
GGUAUGAUCCAAGUAACUCGGCUAAAAUCUAAUUAUCCUUUAAUUGAUUGUUCUGAGUUAACAGGUUUUUCGAUGUAUAAACUAGGCAUGUUCUUCAUUGUUACAUAAAAACACUAGAAGAUAAUACUUUCUUGAAUAACACGAUGUAUAAAUCUUCUAAGGUGUAUUUUUUAUGCAAAAUUUUCUUGUUGAUUGAUUAAUGAGAACAUGCUUAAAUUAUUGCAGCCCUACGGAUUUGAUGUAGGCGAAUCUGCGAGAGGAAAUGUCUUAAAAGGUUUGGAUGUAGGAGUAGAGGGCAUGCGAGUUGGAGGCCAGGUGAGAAGUGACUCUCACAGCAAGCAGAUCUCCGUGUUCUGUUACAAAUUUCAUUGAAAUCAUAAAUAUCAGUAAACGGAAGCUUCACUCGCGAUACUAAUGAACAACUACAUUGAAUUGGAAUUUAACUUACUCAAGAUUUUACUUCAUCUUUGUCUAGUUAAUUCAAGCAUUUUAUCAAAAAAAAUUAUUCAGUCCCUAGACAGUUAGACCUUUAAAGAUGCAAAAUUUACAAGGAAAUUGGGAGGGAUUUUUGGCAUCUCACUAAAUUAUUUUAGCACACUAUUAUGCAUCCGCAUGUUUUUGAGUAAAAUGGGUAAAAAUUGUUUAGUUUUUUAAGUUGGAUCAGAUGCUUUAUAAACAGUAAUUUAGUUAAUUUUCUGCAGCGGU